ACGCUCGACACCUACGGAGGCAGCAGUGGGGAAUAUUGCACAAUGGGGGAAACCCUGAUGCAGCGACGCCGCGUGAGCGAAGAAGUAUUUCGGUAUGUAAAGCUCUAUCAGCAGGGAAGAAACUGACGGUACCUGACUAAGAAGCACCGGCUAAAUACGUGCCGNNCGCGAGUAUGNGNGGCGUGNGAGNG
rnacentral:rRNA from 1 species